GUCCCACGGGGCGCAGCAGUGAGGAAUAUUGGUCAAUGGGAGAGAUCCUGAACCAGCCAAGCCGCGUGAGGGAAGACGGCCCUAUGGGUUGUAAACCUCUUUUGUCGGAGAACAAAACCCGGGACGAGUCCCGGACUGCGUGUAUCCGAAGAAAAAGCAUCGGCUCACUCCGUGCCAGCAGCCGCGGUAAUACGGAGGAUGCGAGCGUUAUCCGGAUUUAUUGGGUUUAAAGGGUGCGUAGGCGGUCCUUUAAUUCAGCGGUAUAAUUGCGGUGCU
rnacentral:rRNA from 1 species